AAGACUGUCCAAAUAAACGGAAGCAUUAUUAACAGAUUUCAUCAAUUUCGUCACUUGAUAAUUUAUAGAAUUCUUGACGAACUCUGCCAAAUUAUAUUUGUUCGGAAACCUCUAGAACAUAGGAACGACGUCGAUGGAGGCGCCACCGGCGAUGGCAUCGGAGGGGGGACAGCGCGGCGCGGGGGGCAGCCACGUACGAGGAUCGCGGGCCGCACACACACCUUACCGAUCAGCUGUGAAAAUUGUACGCGUCGCGCGCCGUUUAAUUAUAUAAUUUGUUACAAAUCAUCCGUUGGAAUAAACCAGUACCUAUAUUUCGGAAACAGCCUCAGUCAUUUCUACAGCCCAAGAAUUCUCCCUAACAAAGUGGUCCUUCGCAAGAAAGAAAAAACAACGGAGGCAGGCGUGCAGUGACGCGUGCGUGGCGAUUUUGCAGCGCAGGAAAAAACCAACGUGGCGCACACGUCUCCAAGAAAUAUAUCGACGAGAACGGAUAACUGUGGCUACGGAUCGGUAAAUAGUGUGUCGUUCCAAUUAAUCAUUGCCCUUUAUCACUUCUUAAAUUCUUCCCGCUUUGUUGGCCAUUUAAAUCUGUUCCAUUUUUUUUCCCCAUAUUUAUUAGUCAUCGCAUUCAUUUCGUUGCACAUAUUUCAAGCCUGGUUAUCGCUCAAGCCUAUUAUUGUAGGUGCAUCGCUGCAUAAUUAGUAGCAGGCAAAAUAAGAAACCUGUUUACACGGAUACGUGUUAGCUUGACCGCUAAUUCACUCAAGGUCAACAUCUGUCGCUUUGCAAUUUAUUCAACGCAGUGCUUGCUCAUUAGUUACGAAUUAACGUAAUUAUUAUUUAUUUGAAUAAUGGACUCUAAACUUAAAGAAUUAGUUAAGAAACGUGCAAGCUGUAAAGCUAAACUUACGCUUUUCAGCAAUUAUUUAAAUGUAGUCCUUUCUUGUUCACGAUUAAGUGAUUUACAAGUAACAGAACUGGAAACCCGACUUGAUAAAAUGGAUUUAUUAUACAAUGACUAUGAUAAAAUACAGGGGGAUAUCGAGCUGCUGAUGGAGGACUCCGCCGAGGCAUUGGCUGAUCGCGAAGCCUUUCAAAACCAAUACUUCUCCUUGGUGUCAUCGGCGCGCGAGGUGCGACGUCAGCAUAGCGAGCGAAGAGCCAGCGUGUUGCCGCAGGUACACUCCGUCAACAUCACUCGAUUGGACCGCUACAAAAGAAUUGAGCAUCUACGGCAACACUUUUGGAACCGAUUCAGUCAUGAAUAUGUUGUCAUGUUGCAGCAGAGAACCAGAUGGCAUGCGUCCACAGGCGAAAUUAAGCUGAAUCAGUUAGUUCUGAUCAGAGAGAAAACGCAACCACCACUACAUUGGCUAUUAGGCCGUAUCGUCAAGGUGUUUCCUGGUGCUGACGGCAUCACGAGGGUGGCGGAAAUCAAAACCAAGAAGGGCAACAUCACAAGGGCCUUCAACAACAUAUGUCCUUUACCUAUUGAAGACGAUGUUUCAACCCGGGCAGGAUGUUCGGAAACCUCUAGAACAUAGGAACGACGUCGAUGGAGGCGCCACCGGCGAUGGCAUCGGAGGGGGGACAGCGCGGCGCGGGGGGCAGCCACGUACGAGGAUCGCGGGCCGCACACACACCUUACCGAUCAGCUGUGAAAAUUGUACGCGUCGCGCGCCGUUUAAUUAUAUAAUUUGUUACAAAUCAUCCGUUGGAAUAAACCAGUACCUAUAUUUCGGAAA